rnacentral:lncRNA from 1 species
AGAGCCUUCCCGAGGGGGCGUCGGCUCAGCCCGGCGCUCGGGGCUGCUACGGUGGUUCGGGUCGGAGACCCCUGAGAUCUUAAAGAUUUGUCCAGUGAGAAUUAGGUGCAGACUGUUCCAGAGACAAGGAAACAGUCACUGGGGAGAGAGAAAGUGGAUGUCAGGUUCAGGGACCUGCAGAACGGCCCGUGUGACUAGAGAGUGAGUGGCAGGAGAAAAGCACUCCAUAGAGCAAAUGGAGAUGAUUUUUCUACUUAAGUACCACCUAAGCUAUCUCUAGAAAGACCUAGAAGAGCGACUUUUGUCUCUAUUUUUGGGAUGCCUACAUGUCCACAAAACUCAGGAGGUUUCAAAUUCCACCAAAUCCAGCAUCCUUUCGUAAUGGGCACCAGUGCCACCACGUAGAUUGGGGAAAAUGGAGUUGAUUGCUGGUCUAAAGACUUUUCAGCCCAAACAUUGGUCUCUUGGGACCUUGUGUGCAGCAGAGGCAUCUCAUCACUCACCUGAGUAAACAGCUGGGAUCUUUCUAUUCGGAGAUGAGCCACCAUGCCCCUUACGGUGGAGAGUCCUUGGAGACCCAGAAGAACAUAGACGGCCCCCAGGAGGGCUCUGUGCUGGCAGGCUAAAGACAGAAAUAGCCAUACGGUGGCUGUUAAAGGGAUGAGACUGUGGCGUGCUUUCUUGUGAUAGAUGGUAGGACUCAGCUCGGAAGAAGCUGACUCCAGAUGGGACUUCAGGGAAAACGGGAAGAAACCGUGCCAUUACUCUGCACUUGAAGGAGCAUCUUUGGCCUGACAGGAUAAUGAACACACUUCCUCUCUCAGUCAGGUUUACUGCGUGGGCCGAGAGAGUGGCAGCUAUGUUGCAUAUUUGUGCCUGGGAUUCUUAGGGUGGGAGAAGACAACAGUCAAAUCCAGAGGUUAGCUUACACCCAGGGAUCAAAUGGCAAUUUGUCUGGUAGGUUGGUUCUCGCAGAACUGUCUCCAAGAUGAAAAGUUAUUGAUCGGUGGUGUGUAGGACAUUUAUUAGGGAGCUCUCUUAGGACCAAUUCCUGUGGGGGGAAGGAAGGAAGUGGAAUUAAUCCGAAGUCAGCUACAGGCCCAGGAGGUUUUGACAGACUGAUAGAGAGCUCUCAAGCUAGGGUGGGUGUUUGGAGUUCUGUCAGGACAAAGGGACUAAGUCUUCUAGUACCGACUAGGUAUUAGGUGCUAGCUACCCCGGGAAGAGGACAAAGGGACUAAGUCUUCUAGUACCGACUAGGUAUUAGGUGCUAGCUACCCCGGGAAGGGGGCAUUGUCUUGGGGGAAAGCAGCUUAUUCAGCCAAGGCUGGUUCAUCAAGAAGACAGCAGAGGGCUGGGAGAUGGCUCGGUCAGUAAGGUGCUUGCUGUACAAGCAGGAGGUCUUGCUUGGAACCCAUGUGAGCCCAGGCACAGUGCCUAUGACCCCCCCACACACACCCCCCACCCUCCACUGGGGAAAUAGAGACAGGAGGAUCCCUGUAGCCUGCUGACCAAAUAGAUAGUCUACACAAGUAAGGAAACAUACAUAAAUGCCCUUAAAAGACUUCUAUCAGAUCACUCAACCUACAACCCUCUCCAUAGCUGGGGACCAGUCCCUCUGCCCUGAGGGAGCGCCUGUAUUACAAAGUGCAUCUUGUAGUUUAUUCUGUAACUUGGUUGUCAUGAAGUGUGUAACCUGGUCGUCAUAAAGUGUUUUGGGUUUUGGGUUUGAGGUUUCCUCAGUGUAGCCUUAACUGUCAUGAAACUUGCUCUGUAGACCAGGCUGGGCUUGAGCUCAGAGACCCAUCUGCCUCUGCCUCUUGAAUGUUGGGGUCAUUUAAAGGCAAGUGCCACCACCCUGGCCUUUUGACAGGAUCUUAGGUAGACCAGGCUGGUAUGGAAUUUAUACCCUGCCUCUGUCUUUCAAGAGCUGGGAUGGCAGGUAUGUGGUACCAUGUCUGCCUAGUAAAUUUUCAGUUCCUCGACAUCUUCUAAUAAAGUUGACUACAGGAAAAAGAACCACGUUGGUCCAGUGAUUUGAAUUCCCUUCAUAUCCCCCAUUCUUGGGACAUGCUUACCUGGAUUUGACGAAACUCUCCUACUGUAAUGAGAUGCAAGCCAGAGAGAUGGCUCAGUAGAAAAGUGCUUGCUUAUGGGUCCUGAGGACCUGAGUUCAAUGCUUAGGAUCAGCAUGGUCGAGGGAAAGAACCAACUCCUCUGACCUCUACAUCCUGACCAGGACAAUGCAUGCUCAUCUACACAUGUCCAUGUAUACACACAUAAAUGUAAUAAAUCCUUUUAUGAAAUAUA